AAAUAAUGUCAGUAAAAGUGUUUAUAUCAUUAAAUAAUCAAUAAUAUUGUACAUUCAAAUUUACUUCUUAUUUUUUUUCUUAUUGAAAAUGAGUAUUAAAAUAUCUGCAUUGUCAUCGAGUACGUCUCGUAUUUUUACGACAACUGACCCGUUUCCGAUCUCCAUAGUAACGACAGCGCCUGGAUUUCCCAAAAUGACGAACAACGGAAAGUGGGACGUGCCGAGGGCGGCUUUGCCACUCGCAAACGGAUUUUUUAAAUACAGAAACCAGUCAGAAGCAGAAGUUGAUUAGUGUCUAUUCAAAAACUGGCAGCAGAAUAUGUCUACAAAUGAAGUUUGGGAAGGAACUUUGUAGACUUCUGGAUGUGCUGUAGAGGAGUUCUCAUGAUAAAGACAAAAUAUCAGCAACGAGAGGUUUUUUUAUGGCCAGAGCAUAUGCUACACAUAUACUACAAAUUUUGGCCAUCAAUGGAGAAAACCACUUCAACCAGUACAUAUUUACAUGUACAUGUACUACCAUUCUACCAAAGACUCCGAUUCAUCCAAAAGUAAGAGAGAUAACUGGAAUUAGGACCGGGGGAAACAAAAUGUACCACAAUGACAAAGAGUGAGGUGAAAGCAGUAAACAUAAGGACAGGUCCUACAACCUUUUUGGAUUUUUGUCUACCAAUGACAGUGUGAUGGAACUUGGUUGAAAUAUAAGAUAUUAUUAUGUUCCUGUACUUUUUCAUGCAUUGAUAUACUGUCUUGUGAAAUUAUGGGAAAAAAAUGUCACACAGGUUCAUGGUUUUCUAGAUACUCUUCCAUUAUUUAAACUAGUCAAGUUUUGUCUGAGCUCAUAAAACAACAGUCUGAGCUCAUAAUACAACAUAAAGUUAUUGUUUUAUAUGCUUGUGAUAAAAGUUCAGGUAUAAUAUAAUUUCAUAAAAUUUGUACAAUAUUCAUUUCAAUACAUAUUGUAUAAUUUGGAAAUGUUAUUGGAAUAGUUUUAUUAUUAAACAUGAAAAUUUAGCAGAGAAAAGAUGUUCAGAGGAAAUUUUGGCUGAAUAUUUUCUCAAUAGCUCCACUCUUUUUUCUGAAACUUGGACUCAUUGAUUGAUUGUUAUCGUAUUACAUGUAAAACCUAUGCAUUUUUUGUUUCCAGUACUCUGCAUGUAGUAACAUGUAUUUGACAAGGAUUCAUAUUUCUCAUAUCUGAUUGU